GAUGAACGCUGGCGGCGUGCCUAACACAUGCAAGUCGAACGGAGUCGUUUUGGAAAUCUCUUCGGAGAUGGAAUUCUCGACUUAGUGGGGGACGGGUGAGUAACGCGUGAGCAAUCUGCCUUUAAGAGGGGGAUAACAGUCGGAAACGGCUGCUAAUACCGCAUAAAGCAUUAAAUUCGCAUGUUUUUGAUGCCAAAGGAGCAAUCCGCUUUUAGAUGAGCUCGCGUCUGAUUAGCUAGUUGGCGGGGUAACGGCCCACCAAGGCGACGAUCAGUAGCCGGACUGAGGGGUUGAACGGCCACAUUGGGACUGAGACACGGCCCAGACUCCUACGGGAGGCGGCAGUGGGGAAUAUUGCGCAAUGGGGGAAACCCUGACGCAGCAACGCCGCGUGAUUGAAGAAGGCCUUCGGGUUGUAAAGAUCUUUAAUCAGGGACGAAACAAAUGACGGUACCUGAAGAAUAAGCUCCGGCUAACUACGUG
rnacentral:rRNA from 1 species